rnacentral:pre_miRNA from 1 species
AGUGGGAUAGCUGGGUCAAAUGGUGGUUCCAUUUCAAGUUUUCUGAGCAAUCUUUAUACUGCUUUCCAGAUUGGUUGCACCAAUUUGCAGUCCCACCAGCAAU